GAAGGUAUAGCUGAAGUGGUAAAGUGCAUGCUUAGCAUGCAAGAGGUCCUGGGUUCAAUCCCUAGUACCACCA
rfam:Camelus ferus unplaced genomic scaffold scaffold110, whole genome shotgun sequence.